rnacentral:rRNA from 1 species
UACGGAGGGGGCUAGCGUUGUUCGGAAUUACUGGGCGUAAAGCGCACGUAGGCGGCUUUGCAAGUUAGAGGUGAAAGCCCGGGGCUUAACCCCGGAAUUGCCUUUAAAACUGCAUCGCUAGAAUUGUGGAGAGGUGAGUGGAAUUCCGAGUGUAGAGGUGAAAUUCGUAGAUAUUCGCAAGAACACCAGUGGCGAAGGCGGCUCACUGGCCCGGUACUGACGCUGAGGUGCGAAAGCGUGGGGAGCAAACAGG